rnacentral:rRNA from 1 species
AUUGAACGCUGGCGGCAUGCUUUACACAUGCAAGUCGGACGGCAGCACAGAGAAGCUUGCUUCUUGGGUGGCGAGUGGCGAACGGGUGAGUAACAUAUCGGAACGUACCGAGCAGUGGGGGAUAACUAAUCGAAAGAUUAGCUAAUACCGCAUAUAUUCUGAGGAAGAAAGCAGGGGACCAUUUGGCCUUGCGCUGUUUGAGCGGCCGAUAUCUGAUUAGCUAGUUGGUGGGGUAAAGGCCUACCAAGGCGACGAUCAGUAGCGGGUCUGAGAGGAUGAUCCGCCACACUGGGACUGAGACACGGCCCAGACUCCCACGGGAGGCAGCAGUGGGGAAUUUUGGACAAUGGGCGCAAGCCUGAUCCAGCCAUGCCGCGUGUCUGAAGAAGGCCUUCGGGUUGUAAAGGACUUUUGUCAGGGAAGAAAAGGGGCGGGGGUAA